GGGGUAGUGGUGGAAUGGUAUACGAGGGCAUGAUCAACCCAGCCACAAGUCUCCCUGCCGAUAGGCAUAGGCCACUGACGGAGUCCCUGGAUUAUACUCCGGGCUAUGUAGGUUCGAAUCCUACCUACCCCA
rnacentral:tRNA from 4 species